UUUGGUAUUUACUGCUACCUGCCGUACACUGAACAUGGAGGAAAAACUUUCCGCAUUGCUUCGUGGUCAACUAGACGGGGACUAGCAUUUUCCUCCAAUCUUCAACUUUUCCCGGAGAAGUACUGGAACUUUCACGGUGCUACAAUAAAUGUGACAGCAACAACGUACAAACCUCUUUGGAUAGAAAAGGAAGAGAAAAAAACAGACGGCACGGCAGUAAUCCACCGUUCAGGAAUGGACUACUUCCUCUUUGUGACUAUUGCUAAGAAACUAAAUUUCCACUUUGAAGUCAUUCCGAUAACCUACUGGUCUGAGGCUCUAGAUCUUACGUCUCAUAGGAAAUCUUUCAUGACUCCAGUGUACCAUGCUGUACUUCACCAUCGGCUGAAGCGAUUCGACUACACAGUUGGUUAUACCUAUGCGUUUAUAUCGUUCAGCAUGGCAAAACCAAAACUCAUCAUAAAUUGGCUAAGCCUCUAUUAUCCUCUAGCAGAUAUAGUUUGGAUCCUGAUUUUGGCGUUUCUGUUUAUG